rnacentral:rRNA from 1 species
ACGAACGCUGGCGGCGUGCUUAACACAUGCAAGUCGAACGCUGAAGCUUGGUGCUUGCACUGGGUGGAUGAGUGGCGAACGGGUGAGUAAUACGUGAGUAACCUGCCCUUGACUCUGGGGUAAGCCUGGGAAACUGGGUCCAAUACUGGAUACGGCAUGUCACCGCAUGGUGGUGUUUGGAAAGGGUUUUACUGGUUUUGGAUGGGCUCACGGCCUAUCAGCUUGUUGGUGGGGUAAUGGCUCACCAAGGCGACGACGGGUAGCCGGCCUGAGAGGGUGACCGGCCACACUGGGACUGAGAAACGGCCCAGACUCCUACGGGAGGCAGCAGUGGGGAAUAUUGCACAAUGGGCGGAAGCCUGAUGCAGCGACGCCGCGUGAGGGAUGACGGCCUUCGGGUUGUAAACCUCUUUCAGCACGGAAGAAGCGAAAGUGACGGUACGUGCAGAAGAAGCGCCGGCUAACUACGUG